CCCGUCCCAGGGCGAUGGAAAGUUAAUGGAAAUAUUUGGCCAACGGAACUCUUUGCUCCACUGAAAUCACCUGCUGUAUCGCAUGGAUGUGCAAAGCCACAUCGUUUCUGCCCCGGCCUCUGUGGGAACUCAUCUGCUAAAGCUGCAGCACCUAUCUUUCCUCCCCUUGACAAAAUGUUAGCAAGAUUUUGAAGCACACAAUUAAAAAGUGAAGUACCAAGCAACCUUGGAAGAAGACACUUGAGACUCACCAUCCAAGAGCUACAACUGAUUUCAGGGGCAUUAUUAGUUUGAUGACAAGGAAUGCUCAAGGAUGACAAGGAUGAUCAAAGUUAUGAAACAACUCUUAUGUAAAGAACAGCAAAGAAGACUGGGACUCAGCCUGAGGAAAAAAAAUAAUGUGGGAAGAUACGCUACUGGUCUUAAAAUCAGGGAUGAUGACAUGGCAAAGGUGGGGACCAGCAGCAAAAGCAAUGCCCUGGUAUGAACGGCUCCCAUGAAACGUGACUCCAGCUCUCCUCGCUGUAAGACAACUCUGAUGACAGAGGGAGCAUCAAGUCAAUCCGCCACCGCGUAGCAUACCGCAUUCACAUCGCAGCUUUUUAAUUUCUUGUAGACAGAUAGAAAUGAAAAUUAAGUCUACUGGCACUCUUCAAGUGGCUAGAAGCAAGCCAAGUCAGAUGCACAAGCUGUAUAGCCAUGCUAGCACGCAGUCUUUCCCAAGCCAUGAGCUCGUACCAGAUGAUAGAGCCCAGUGCCACAUGAACCACCAUCUGCCCCGCUUAGUGGAUGCGUGAAAUGAGCUUGUGUCUGCUUGCACUUGGCUACGUAAAUAUAUUUGCUUAUUUGGAAAUGGGUUGUAUUCAAAUGUACGUUUCAAAUAACAGACACAUGAUGUAAUUGCUAUAUAAAUAGGAAGGUGGUUUACACACAAAUAUAGCAGUGCUAUUAGAGGUGAUCAUUAGUUACUAAUAUAAGAAGUUAUUUGAACAUUAGCAUAUUGUUAUUCAUAGCAGAAUUCAUUAUGCAUUUUGUAUGUAAGUUGUAGCUUCCUUAAUAAACUUAGAAUAAAGAAUCUCUGUUCUGUAGAUUGCUAAAGAAGGACAAUAACAUUAGUGAUUAUUAAGGUCUGAAAUUUUCUAACAAUUAUCUAUAUUUAGAAAGACUAUUUGAAAAAAAAAAAGAAGACAUGGGAGUAUUUUGACCUAUUUCAAAUAGAAUUUCCACUCAUAUUAAAAACUGAUGAAAUGAAAUAGACAGAAAAUAAAAUGGAAAGAAUAGAAGAAAGCAUUAAAACUCUAAAGAUAUGCUGAAUGUGUCCUCCCAAAGAGCAAAAGCAAUUAAUUCCCUAUUACAUGUGCCUUAAAGGAUUAUAUAUUCAUAAACUGACAACUCGGAAAGGACUAUCCCAUCAAGAUGCCAAACCAAUCAACUAUGACAGAAGCUCAUAUUUAAAUCCCCCUUAUCCAAAAAGAGGUAUGUCACUCCACCAGUGAAACUGUACAAGGGGAGACUACAAACCUUUCUGACUCCAGCCAACAAUAAACUCUACUCCCACCUUUCCAAUGUCUUUCAGCUCAAUACUUUCUCAUCUCACACCUUUUCUCUGAUUUUUCCAACAUUUAAAAAAAGAGCAAGGAGAUGAAGAAGGCUUGACAAAGCACCAAGAAAGAGCUAUUUUCUUGCGUGAUGUCGCUUCUAGGCCAAGAUCAAGGCCAGUUUUGCCCUGCAGCCACAGCUCUGUGUGAUUCAUGUCAUCGUGCCUAAACUAGGGUUAAACUCACUGGCUUCGAUGCUUCCAGGGAUACAGCCAUGGCAGCACUAAAUUAAACAUGGAUCACUAAAGUCGUGUGAGAUGCUGAAAUAAGCCCAGGUCAAGCUGUACACUCUCCAGGUGUGAGUAAGCUUCUUUAAAGGUAACUUGGAGAUACAUAUGUAUACAUGACAUGUACAACCACAGUCAUAUCCCAAGCCACCAACUUCAUGGAUAUCAGGAAACUUACCAAAGUUAUCAAAGUUUACUUGAGAUUUUUUUUUUUUUUUUUACUUUCCUGUGUGAUGCAAUAAAUGGAAUAUUGUAAUUUAAUUUAUUUUCACUGUUUCCAAUUAGAUUCCAAAUGAUUUCAAGUACGGCAGCUAAAAGAAAACAAGCUCGUUUGGGUUAAUGCUGACAAAUAAUGGAAUUUAAUUGUGAUUUAAGAUUCCCAAUGUUCAUUGAUCGCUCCAUUCAAAACAGUCCUUGAAUAACCUCUUUUAAAUUACGGAGUUUGAAUACUUCCUUUAGUUUUCUAGGACUGCACUUAGGGCACUUACCUCCAUUAAUUUCUGAUUGUUUAGGUUUUUCUUUACCUACUCUUUUAUAAGACUCUUGGUCAUCUAUAAAUUAUCUCGGUUACAUAUAAGACAUUGAAACUUCCCUGAUUUGGGGAGCAACAUACACUGAUGGCAGCCUAGAUAAGAACAUCUGCAGGCGUUUACGCAGUGUCAAGCUUCCUGAAACAGUUUGGCAGAGAGGCUGGCCAAAGAGGCCAGAAAAACUUGUUUGUGCAGGAAAGUGAACUCAGACUAAGGUGAAACAUGAGGUUGCAGGUCAAUGGCUACUUCUGAGUAGCUCCCUGUCUUCUGAAAUAAAUGGGUCUGUUUGGUUUUAUUUCCUUUCAAAGUGAGGUUCGUUAAGUGAAAAAAACCAAACGUGUACGUGGAGAGAAACCCUUGCAAAGUGAAAAUUCUGUUAGUUGCUUGUUUUCUGUUGUACUCGGCUUUUCGUUACUUUUCUUCAAUUAAAAAUGAAAUUCUCUUUGUAAA